AACGAACGCUGGCGGCGUGGAUAAGACAUGCAAGUCGAACGAUCACUAUUGAGUAGCAAUAUUUGGUAGUGGGAGUGGCGCAAGGGUGCGUAACACGUGGGUAAUUUGCCGUAAAGUCUGGGAUAACUUGCUGAAAGGCGAGCUAAUACCGGAUGUGAUUGCUGGGGGGCAUCCUCUGGCACUUAAAGUCGGGGACCGCAAGGCCUGACACUUUUCGAUAAGCCCGCGGCCUAUCAGCUAGUUGGUGAGGUAACGGCUCACCAAGGCUAAGACGGGUAGCUGGUCUGAGAGGACGACCAGCCACACUGGAACUGAGACACGGUCCAGACACCUACGGGUGGCAGCAGUCGAGAAUUUUUCUCAAUGGGGGAAACCCUGAAGGAGCGACGCCGCGUGGGGGAUGGAAUGGCUUCGGCCCGUAAACCCCUGUCAUUUGCGAUCAAACCUUACGACCUAACACGUCGUAAGCUGAUAGUAGCGAAAGAGGAAGGGACGGCUAACUCUGUGCCAGCAGCC
rnacentral:rRNA from 1 species